GACGAACGCUGGCGGCGUGCUUAACACAUGCAAGUCGAACGAAGUGGCGAACGGGCGAGCAACGCGUCAUCAACCUGCCCUUCAGAGGGGGACAACAGUUGGAAACGAUUGCUAAUACCGCAUACUGAAGGUGGGGAUUUCGUCUGAUUCGCGAGCUGGAGGGGUAAAGGCCCACCAAGGUGAUGAUCAGUAGCCGGUCUGAGAGGAAGAACGGCCACAGUGGGACUGGGACACGGCCCAGACUCCUACGGGAGGCAGCAGUGGGGAAGCUUCCGCAAUGGACGAAAGUCUGACGGAGCAACGCCGCGUGAGUGAUGACGGCCGUCGGGUUGUAAAGCUCUGUUAAUCGGGACGCGGUACCGGAAUAGAAAGCCACGGCUAACUACGUGCCAGCAGCCGCGGUAAUUC
rnacentral:rRNA from 1 species